UAGGGAAUAUUGGACAAUGGGUGAGAGCCUGAUCCAGCCAUGCCGCGUGCAGGAAGAAGGCGUUAUGCGUUGUAAACUGCUUUUGCCAGGGGAUAAAAAGACCGUGCGCGGUUAAUUGAAGGUACCUGGUGAAUAAGCCACGGCUAACUACGUGCCAGCAGCCGCGGUAAUACGUAGGUGGCAAGCGUUGUCCGGAUUUAUUGGGUUUAAAGGGUGCGUAGGUGGCCCUGUAAGUCAGUGGUGAAAUAUCUCAGCUUAACUGAGAGGGUGCCAUUGAUACUGCAGGGCUUGAGUACAGAUGAGGUAGGCGGAAUUGACGGUGUAGCGGUGAAAUGCAUAGAUAUCGUCAAGAACACCGAUAGCGAAGGCAGCUUACCAAGCUGUAACUGACACUGAGGCACGAAAGUGUGGGGAUCAAACAGGAUUAGAUACCCCCGUAGUCCCUGAGCGGGCUGGCAAGGCGCAU
rnacentral:rRNA from 1 species